rnacentral:sRNA from 1 species
AGGGGGCAGGGAGGACACGCUACAGCCAUUUUGGCCAUCUUCAGCUCGGGUGGGGCUGUAUUUGGAAUCCGUAACCUGAGGGGA